AUUGAACGCUGGCGGCAGGCUUAACACAUGCAAGUCGAGCGGAGACUUCGGUCUUAGCGGCGAACGGGUGAGUAAUACCUAGGAAUCUGCCUAUUAGUGGGGGAUAACGAAUCGAAAGGUUCGCUAAUACCGCAUACGUCCUACGGGAGAAAGGGGGGAGUCUUCGGACCUCUCGCUGAUAGAUGAGCCUAGGCCGGAUUAGCUAGUUGGUAGGGUAAAGGCCUACCAAGGCGACGAUCUGUAGCUGGUCUGAGAGGAUGGCCAGCCACACUGGAACUGAGACACGGUCCAGACUCCUACGGGAGGCAGCAGUGGGGAAUAUUGGACAAUGGGGGCAACCCUGAUCCAGCCAUGCCGCGUGUGUGAAGAAGGCCU
rnacentral:rRNA from 1 species